rnacentral:lncRNA from 1 species
UGUCAAAGCGAGCGUAGAACCUGUUUAACUCGUUUUCAGACUCCUUAUCAGAAUAGAGGACUGACCCAAUUUACACAAGUGCAUUUAAAUUCAUGAUGACUCUACAUUACUCUACAUCCAUUCCUCGAUUAUCAUUAAACUCUUUCGAUGCUGCAUAUCGAUGGCAAGACAAAUCCUUCACCCAGGUUUUAUCAACAUCAGGCCAGUGAUGUCUGAGAUAUCCAGGGUGUAAUUUCCUUGUGCAAUUGUAUUUUUAUUUUUUAAAUGUAACACUAGUUUAAAUGAACAGUAGUAAAUUUGUUUUGUGUACUUUACUCUGUUUAGGGUACAGUCCUCACUAUUAAAAUGCAAAGGUCAACUUGAAAUUUUGUGUGAGUGGGAUUUUGUGUCAAUGGGGAUUUGUGUGGUGGGUCUAGCUUUUAAGACUUCAGAGUAUGAAAACAAUGGGAACAUAAUAAUAUCCUCUUAUUCAUUCCCCUUCCAGUUUUUUAAGACACUGCUGCCAUUUCGCAGUGCUCACCUAGGACUGCCCCUCUCUACAGGAAAAUGUACAACUCAUGCCCUUAUCCAGACAAAGAGUGGCAUGAGUGUGAUGUGAGGAGACCGAUGCCUCUGUGUGAUUAUAUUGGCAUGGUGGAAACCUUAUCUAGCUACCAGGUUCUGUCGAAAGAAGGAACCAGUGAAAGCCCACAGUUUCUCCCUGGAGUUCCAGAAAAGGCUGUUUUCUGUGAUGGGAGUGUCGAGUCCAGAAAUAGAGGUCAUAGUGGUCAUCAAGUAUUUAUACUGGCUGGCUAG